rnacentral:rRNA from 1 species
AUGUACUCGCGAUGGGUGCUCGCCAAGCAGCCCGACCUGUUCUACACCUCAUGGAGCCCCAGCGAGAGCGGGGUCAUGUUCACCUUAGUAGGCCCAAUCUUCGAGGCCCCAAAAGCGACGGUCCGAGUGGCGCGUAUCGAGUUCGGCCCGAACGAGCUCACCGACGACCGCGGAGACCUCGACGUGGCCGUGAAGAAGCUGACUCGGUCGGAGACCGGCAACGACACGUUCUCGGCGGUGUCGAUGUGCGGGCGGUGGGUGGUGUUCUGGUCAGGUCGGGCACACCACAUGAACCUCUACAUCAUCGCCACGGCACCUGAGGAGGAGAUGGUAUGGAGGGUCACGAACGACCAGUGGAUCGGCAUGAUGCCGAGCUUGUCGCCGGACGGGAAGCUGGUCGCUCUCUCUCCUCCAACUGGCACGAAGCGGCCAACACCGCUGUGUUCAACAUCUACUUGGUGCGGCUGGACGGGAGAGGGCUGCGGCGAGUGCACGUGGUCGGGUCACCGGGGAGCACGGAGACGUACAAGGAGCGGAUCCGCCACAUCUGCUUCAGUCCGGACAGUGAGCGGCUGCUCUUAA